CUGUGGCAUUAGAGAUGUUUCUUCUUUAACUCAGUCUUUGACUAACUCAAAAGCACUGCAGUUUUUAAAAGAUCUUGAUCCGAGAGGGAAUAUGAUAGGAGACUCAAAGAAGCGGCUCCGUGACGUGCUACAAGACUCAAACUGUGUCCUGAGAUGAAGAUCUGUGAAAUGAUCAUGAGAGGAUCAGAAAUCAUCAGGUGAUCCACAGAAGAGUCUCUACUGUGUCUAUGAGGAGAAAUAAAUGUGUGAUUAAUGUGUAAA